rnacentral:lncRNA from 1 species
GGCAAUUGCCCUGCCUCAGCCUCCUGAGCAGCUGGGAUUACAGAAGACUGGAUGGAUGACAUGUAAUUCACCAAGAAAGAAAAGGAAAGAGUGAAGUAGGGAGCAAGUUCAACAGAGAGAGUUUUGGACCUGCUGUCUUUGAAGGACUCAUGCAUUUACUUGGAGGUCUCAAGCAGGAAAGUGGACGUAGUGUCUGCAGCAGGAAGAAGUGCAGGUGGGCCAUAUUGACUCUACAGCGAAGACCACAGUCAUCAAUGAAGUUGCUCGUGGAGGAUGUAGAGUAAGAAGAGAAGAGGACCAAGCACUGAAUCACGUGGAGACAAGCACACGUAAAAGAAAAGAAGGGAGUGAAGCUGCAGAGAGAAGCAAGCUGUGGAAGCCGGAUUCUGCAAGAAGCAGAUGGAAAUCGGGAAGGAAGGUUUGCCGUGGAAAAGACCCGGCACCCAAAAUCUGUAGACAGGAAUACAUCAGAGUAAGGCAGCCACACCAAGGUGUUGCAAGGUGAAGAGGAAAGAAAUUGAGAUGGCUCAGGUGAGGCUGAGGGAGUGACAAAGGAGACUGCUGCUGGGGAUGGCAGUGAGGGUGGUCUGAGCAGAGUGCAUUUGGGCAUAUUUCAGAAUUGUUACAAAGGGGAAUUCAGUAAUUGAGUUGAGUCCGUCCUCUUAAGUCCCCAUCACUCGUGCUUUGAUGAGCUUUGGUUUCACUUCAAAUGAAAAUGGUUUAUAGCAUCAAAACCUGUAUCUGUGCCAAACUGAAUGAAACAUAGAUUUCUACGAUCAGAAAGUUAUUUAAUCAAUAAGCCUCGCUCUGUGAGUUCAACAAUGCCAUGUAAGCUAAAAGACAUCAUUCCUCAUGGAAUAGAAGCCAAGGCUAAAUUCAAAUUACAUAUCACCCAACCACAGGGCAAAGCUACAUAGUUCUAGGACUCAGAUGGCCACAACUCCUUUGGCAAUGACAGGAACUUGCUGCUGAAUAAUUUUACCCAGGAAAUCAGAGGUCUGCCAGAGUCUUUAUCAAACAACCAUCUCCAAUCACACGUUUAUUAGUUAGUUCAUCCAUUUACUCUUCUAGAAGGUAUCUAUUAGCACCUUAAUAUGCCAACACCUGCACUAGGUCCUUAGAUGUAAAAGUGAACAAGAUCACACAAAUCUACCCAUGAGAGAAGAUGGCAUAGCACCAUGUACACUUUGGAUGGACAUCAGUUUCCUGGCUUUGACAUUGUACUGCAGCUACAUGAGAUGUGACCACUGGGGGAAACUGGAUGAAGGGCACAGUUGGGAGAUAUUUCUGGACUAUGUUUUGCAAAUUCCUGUGAAUCUACAAUUAUUUCGAAAUGAAAAUUUUUAAAAAGUGAAUAUGAAUCUGUCCAUGACUGCAGAGCAAAUAUCCAGUCAUGCAGGGAGAUUUGAAGAUGAAAAAGCAACCAGAACAAGUGCUGUGCCAUGGGAAAGACCAAGUGGGAGGGGUGUCACUAAUCUCCCUGGGUGGGCAGCUGGGGAGGAUUCUGUGAAAAGGGGGGAGGUGGGUUUAGUUGAAUUGAUGGAUGCCUUCUGUGCAAAUGUCACUUCUUUGUGUGUCCAGAAUGUGACAGCAGUGUCUUCUUCUUAUUUUUUAAUGGGGGCAGGGGUGAGUUUUAACUUUCACACUCUUUCUCAUCUAAUGCUCACAAUAACACAAUGACAUCAGCAUUAUACCCAUUUUACAGAAGAGGAAAUGGAAGUCAGUGAGACUUUGGCAAUCACUCUGUGCUUACAUCAGUGGUGGCUUAGAAACUCAGUCCAGGUCUUCUGACCCCACAGUUUCACCACUUGACUUGGGUGGACGCUUGCUCCACCUGGCUCUUCACUAGCUGUUCCUUCUGGUAGGUCUGAGCAGAGUGAAUAUGUUUUAAGGCUGGGGGAAAGGAAAUGCCAAACUCUGCAAGC